UGUGAAACCUUUCGUGUUUUCAUCCUCAGGUGAAGUGCAGACCUAUUCCUUACCAUCUGAUGCUAAAACUAGCCUGAUGAGAGAUUCUGAGAAAGGUUGCCUAUAUCCAUCAACUUUUUCCAGCUGACUUCAUCAAGAUCAAGGCAUGGGUGGGGAAAAGACAAGAUCAUGUGAGGAUCGAGGGAUCAAGGGUGACGGUUUGGAUGGUGGAGCAGUUUGCCCCUGCUGGCCGGUGCUGGAACUGCACAUUAAACCAUGAGCUGCUGUGUCUACAUUUCCUUGCCAGCUCUUCAACAAUAGCAGAGGUCAUCAGGGGUCCCGGACCCCGAGGAAACAGCAUCUUCUGCCCCCUCCAGAUCUUCCUGCAGACGUCACUCAACACCCGACUUGUGUCUCUGAUCAAAGGCCGGAGUAGGAGGAGAUGCACGACUGCGACACUGACACACUUCAUCCGAAAAUCCCCUGCAGUCUCACCCCGGUAACCCUGCGCAGUCUGACCGUCGCCAUGGCAACUCAUGCCCUGAAGGAGAGAAGGACGAUGGUGGAUUUAGAGACAUCAGUAUCCCUCCAGUGCUGAAGCUGUGUGUCGCUCUAAGCAGAAGUGACGUCUCAUUCAUUUGUUCUGCUCCAGGUCUGACAUUAAUCCAGUGAGUGAAACACAUAUGCCACAUCUGCCCAACACAAACCAUCCACAGCAAUUACUGUACAUUACACAUG